GAUCAAGUUUGAAGAAGGUGUCAUUGGGACUCCCCAGCUCACGGACUCCAUAGUAAUACCGGAAAAUGUGGAAUUUCUGGGACAAAAGAUUGACCUCACACCCCUUAAGGGCAUAUUAACCUCUGUCCAAGACACAGCAUCAUCAGUUGCAAAGACCAUUUCAAGCCAGCCGCCAUUGAAGUUUCCAAUCUCAAACACUAACGCCGAAUCAUGGCUGUUGACCACAUACCUCGACGAAGACCUUCGAAUCUCAAGGGGUGAUGGUGGCAGCGUGUUUGUUCUCAUCAAAGAAGGCAGCCCCCUCUUGAAACCUUGAAC
rnacentral:lncRNA from 1 species